rnacentral:rRNA from 1 species
GAGUUUGAUCAUGGCUCAGAGCGAACGCUGGCGGCAGGCUUAACACAUGCAAGUCGAGCGGGCGUAGCAAUACGUCAGCGGCAGACGGGUGAGUAACACGUGGGAACGUACCUUUUGGUUCGGAACAACUGAGGGGAAACUUCAGCUAAUACCGGAUAAGCCCUAACGGGGAAAGAUUUAUCGCCGAAAGAUCGGCCCGCGUCUGAUUAGCUAGUUGGUGAGGUAAUGGCUCACCAAGGCGACGAUCAGUAGCUGGUCUGAGAGGAUGAUCAGCCACACUGGGACUGAGACACGGCCCAGACUCCUACGGGAGGCAGCAGUGGGGAAUAUUGGACAAUGGGGGCAACCCUGAUCCAGCCAUGCCGCGUGAGUGAUGAAGGCCCUAGGGUUGUAAAGCUCUUUGUGCGGGAAGAUAAUGACGGUACCGCAAGAAUAAGCCCCGACUAACUUCGUGCCAGCGCCGCUGUAAC